rnacentral:lncRNA from 1 species
UUUAAGUAUAUAGUUAAUCCACAAAUGUGUUUGAUCAUGAAUGAAAUAGAGUAACGCUGAGGAUUAAUUGUGUAGCUAUUCGUUUAAGUCCAGGUUGAACUCAGAUUAAAAUUGAGGAUCGAUAUCGAAGUAGUUCCUAUCUGUGUUCUUGUUAAAUACAGGUUGGGAUUUGUGUUUAUUUUCUUCCUUUCAAUGAUCUGGGACCUUAACAAAUGUGUCAUAAACAAAAGACUUAGUGAUACCAAUCAACGAAAAAAAACCACAAUGUCAGACAAAGUGGCUUUCCACCUGUGGAGGUAUUAAGGCCUCAGUCACAGUACGGGAUUUAAUUUGUGAAUUUUAGGCACCAAGGGGAUCGAUUUCUUUAUCUGGCGAUAAUCUUUCUUCUUUAAUGUUAUUUUCCUUGAUGAUUCCGGUGGACCUGGAGCGUUUUUUUAUUUCCCUUUGUUCCUGGUGUAGUUGAAAAGCUUAAUGGAAAACGGCUCCCGAUGACUGAUUUGGAAUGUUAUGAGGAAGAUAGGAAGGUAUUUUAUCUGCAAGGAUUCGCAGAUCUAUGCAGUGUUGUUCAUUUGGUGAUGAAGCAGAUGGUUCUUCAGAAAUAACUCGGUUGGAUUUUGGAUCUGAUAAGAUUUCCAAGCUUGGCAUAACAGAAUUACUAGAUGAAGAAUCUUUAUGUUGAUUUUCAUUUUCAUUUGCGUAUGAUAGUCCUUCAAAGAGAACCAGGUUAGAUUUAGGUUAUGAUGAGGGGCCUGAUCCUAAAAUCACAGGUUUCCAGAGGGAAGACUCUCCCGUUGAUUUGACUGGAUAUGAGUAUAAACUAAACUUGCUAUCAACUCUCCCCUUUUUAAUUAACGAUUCCAACAAAAUAUUUUGGUAUUCUUUGUACUACAGCUUGUGUAGGUAUGCCAGAGAUAGAGAUAUAUUACAGGAUUUAAGUGCAGGAUAUUUUUCAAGGUUUUUUUUUAAUAUUUGCAUCUGACCUCACAAACCCAAUCUCCUUCACUUCCUCGGUGAAGAGACCUAGUGUCUUUGCUACCCGUCCUUAGGGCUUUUACUCUGAAAGAUUUCGUUGGAUGUAAUUCAAUUUCUCUUUUUAAGCCUCUUAUUUUGAUUUUGAAAACAUUUCCCGACAAUUUACUCUAAUAAUGAAACGGGAAACUAAGAUUUUUAAAUUUACAAAGAAUAUUUAUUGGUUUUUUCACUCUAAUAAGAUUUUUGGACUUUCAAGGGAAUAUUUGAUUUUUAGAUAAAAUAAAGUUUUUAGAAAUUUG